GAAAUGCGAUAAGUAAUGUGAAUUGCAGAAUUCAGUGAAUCAUCGAAUCUUUGAACGCAAAUUGCGCCCGCCAGUAUUCUGGCGGGCAUGCCUGUCCGAGCGUCAUUUCAACCAUCAAGCCCCCGGGCUUGUGUUGGGGACCUGCGGCUGCCCGCAGGCCCUGAAAACCAGUGGCGGGCUCGCUGUCACACCGAGCGUAGUAGCAAUCACCUCGCUCAGGGCGUGCUGCGGGUUCCGGCCGUUAAACAGCCUUACAAAACCCAAGGUUGACCUCGGAUCAGGUAGGAAGACCCGCUGAACUUAAGC
rnacentral:misc_RNA from 1 species